CAUUCGAUCCAUGUUCUUUCCUUUUAGAACCAUUCAGAGAGAGAACCUCAAUAACAAUCUGACCUGUGACUCUGUCUCUUAGUCGUGUUGUGAUGGCAGGAAACACCAGACCAGACAAGCAGGCAGCCGGCUGGACUUUAGACAUGGGGAGUAAUGUUUUUGCAGCAUCGAUCCAUUUGGUGCAGAGUUUGACUGCCACAGUUCUAAGGUGCCACUGGUUGUCAGCAGAGUCCGUCGGAUUAACCUCUCGGCCAUGACAGCUGACUUUUAGAGUUCUGGAUCAACACCUCAAACCCACGAUCCUUCACUCCCAGUCAGACAAAAUGAAGCUAAGAGGAAGAUGUCUGACUCCCCUUUGAUCGAUGAGCUGGGAUCAGGAUCCCAGUGGCAAAGAGAUCAGCCAAAAGUCAUCAAACUCUACCUGGUCCUGGACCUGGGACACAGGGUGAACAUUACUGCAGGUUUUCGUCUCUAACAGAGCCCCAAAACAUCUUGUCUACCUCCUCCUGACUACUUUCUACCCUGGGGGGACCAGAUGUGGGAAACAGGACAGCUGCUUCUAAUCCCCUGUCUUCAGUUGGAGCUUCUCUGUGUCAUAGCUCUGUGUCCUCGUCCCUGCAGAGGACAGAGUCCCAGUUGUGGAUCAGUUUCUACAAACUGCAGAUGACGAUCAAAGAAACGUGUUUUUAUCUCGUCCUCUGAGGGACGCUGCAGGACAGACUGCAUCAUGAAACAGUCUCAGGCUGAUUCCAUAAGAGGAGGAAAAGAAGGACGGAGCAGCGUCUCCACCAUCCAAAUGUCCAUAACCCACUGUUACCUGUCCCACACAGACACCCAGACCCGGUCCCACACGCUGGAAAAGAACAUUUUAUUAUAUUAUGUACAUGUGUAAGUAGAGGGGAGGAGCAACGAAAGUGAAAGCGUCCGCUCAGUGUGUUCCUCCUCCAUUUUUAGUCAGUGUGUGGAUGAAGGAGGAGGCUGGAGCUGGUGAGUAGAGGGAACAACAGUCACAACAAUCUGAUUUGAAUUUGAACAUUUGCACAAACUUGUGAUCGAUGGUUCUGUUGCUUCUUUAAACGGUGUCACGCAUGUGUCGCCUCCUGUUCUCACUGUGCCCCUGAACGCACCACAGAGACUUCAUUUCUUGGUUUUACAGAACUUUUUGGUUUUGAACUACGGCUCAGUCAAAGUCUUGGAUGCUGGAAUAUUUGUGGCUUCUGCCUUUUGUUGCUCCGUCUUCUCCAGAAAUACAUUUUGUCUCUGUCCAUACACACACACUACACACACACAAAGCAACCCUUCAUAAUUCUGUUCAUAAGACAGACUUCUGUCAUGGGGCUGUAGACGGCUGACCUGUGCUAUUUACUGCAAAACAGAGGUUUUUCUUUGGGUUCAUGCAGCAAUUUACACACAAAGGUAAUAAACAAAGUAUCAUAUGUGCUACUGUAAUACACGGCGUAUUUCAACUUGCAGUAAUAUGAUGUAUGCUGGGUCCUGAGGUGAGUGAAUGCUCCACAUUUACUCUACACAUCUGCCGCCUAGAUCCCUCAAUGAAUUCUUACCUGUUACAAGACAAGACACGACAUGCCGUCAAACUUCAUCCUUCCCUUUGUUUAACCCAACAACGCCGAUCAUCUUUUACUUCCAGAGGGACCGUGUUACAGAGGAACUCCUCCACACUGAUGAUGCUCACAUGACAGAUGGAAGUCUAGAAGAUGGAGGACGACGGGGACAGAGUGAGCUGGUCGCUGAGUCGCUGGUUCAAACGUUUUAAUCCAGACAUCAGUAAAAAACCUGCACCCUCAGACACAG